UACCUAGGGAAACUUUGGUGAACAUGGAGCUGGUGGCCCAAAAGGAGAGAAGGGUGAAACUGGACCACCAGGAUUUCCGGGGUCCAUUGGCCCUAAAGGUCAAAAGGGAGAAUCUGGGGAACCUUUCAUCAAAGGUGAAAAGGGAGAUAGAGGAGAACCUGGGAUAAUAGGAUCACAGGGAAUGAAGGGUGAACCUGGAGAUCCUGGUCCCCCCGGAUCAGUAGGAAGCCCAGGACUAAAGGGUCAGCAAGGACCUGCAGGCUCUAUGGGACCCAGAGGACCACCAGGAGAUAUUGGAUUGCCAGGAGAACACGGUAUCCCAGG